CUUUGCUCGUCCGCCUCUACAGGAAACCGGGAAUACAAGCCACCGCGAUGCCUCAGUGAUGUAAAGAUCUGCAUCGAAGUGAUACCGCCUCUACAAGACGAAAUCAAACCGCAGAGCGAGGAUACACGUUAGCAGAGCACAGUGUGCUGGGAUCCACCAUAUGGCGUGGAGCAGAUCCUGGAACAUUCUGGGAUAAUAAGAGGACUUUAAAGCUUUCUGCAGUUUUGGAAGAAGCUGUCGAGUAAGAACCAUCACAGGAGCCAUUUUUCGACAGCGAAAGCUUCCUGGGAAGUAUAAUCAUUUUGUCAGCAAACUACCUCUUGGUCGUUCUGCGUCCAAGUCAUGUAACUUAACCUCGUCCCUUCAUGUUGAAUGAUUUUGUACAAAAUAAGGUAGGCCUGCACACCAACCGGGAGAGGAUCUGACCUCUUUGGAUACGUGUGGGAAUAUUGGCAUUCUUUUAUUUUUUUAUUUUUUAGUCAAACUUGACAUCCUGAUACAUUUUGUAGUUUCAUGACAACGGCCUCCAAUCUGCAAUAGUAAAGUGAUAUUUAUAAAGUCUGGGUAACACUAAAGGUUUAAGGUGUGUACCUAUUUCCAACAGUAGAGUGAAUAGAGAUGGUCGACACACUCACGCACACGUGCAUGCAAACACACGCAUACACACACUCAGACAAGCGGGUUGUGUCUCUCCGUGUUCACAGCGGACCUUGAUUUAAUGUCUUACAAUUAAGGCACGCGGUGAAUGCCAAGAGAUGAUCCUCCCUACCUCGGAAUCUGUCACAUCUCUACUGUUUCUAUUUGUUGAAAAAGCAGCAUAUUUGUGUCUUUCACACACUGCAGGUAUUUCUGUCGUUUCGAAAUGUACCGCAUGAUUUAUGUACUGCACAUUCUCCCCUCUCCUUCAACAAUAAAGUAAAUACACACAACCAUUUUA